rnacentral:rRNA from 1 species
CGAGUGGCGGACGGGUGAGUAAUGUCUGGGAAACUGCCUGAUGGAGGGGGAUAACUACUGGAAACGGUAGCUAAUACCGCAUAACGUCGCAAGACCAAAGAGGGGGACCUUCGGGCCUCUUGCCAUCGGAUGUGCCCAGAUGGGAUUAGCUAGUAGGUGGGGUAACGGCUCACCUAGGCGACGAUCCCCAGCUGGUCUGAGAGGAUGACCAGCCACACUGGAACUGAGACACGGUCCAGACUCCUACGGGAGGCAGCAUG